CUACGGGUCGCUGCAGUGAGGAAUAUUGCACAAUGGGGGGAACCCUGAUGCAGCAACGCCGCGUGGAGGAUGACGCAUUUCGGUGUGUAAACUCCUUUUAUAUGUCAAGAAAAUGACGGUAGCAUAUGAAUAAGCACCGGCUAACUCGCGUGCCAGCAGCCGCGGUAAUACGGAGGGUGCAAGCGUUACUCGGAAUCACUGGGCGUAAAGGACGCGUAGGCGGGUUGGAAAGUCAGGUGUGAAAUCCUACAGCUUAACUGUAGAACUGCACUUGAAGCUUCUAAUCUAGAGUAUGGGAGGGGGAGAUGGAAUUAGUGGUGUAGGGGUAAAAUCCGUAGAUAUCACUAGGAAUACCUAAAGCGAAGGCGAUCUCCUGGAACAUUACUGACGCUAAGGCGUGAAAGCGUGGGGAGCAAACAGGAUUAGAUACCCUCGUAGUC
rnacentral:rRNA from 1 species